GACGAACGCUGGCGGCGUGCUUAACACAUGCAAGUCGAACGGAAAGGCCCUGCUUUUGUUGGGUGCUCGAGUGGCGAACGGGUGAGUAACACGUGAGUAACCUGCCCCUGACUUUGGGAUAACUUCAGGAAACUGGGGCUAAUACCGCAUAGGAGCUCCUGCUGCAUGGUGGGGGAUGGAAAGUUUCGGCGGUUGGGGAUGGACUCGCGGCUUAUCAGCUUGUUGGUGGGGUAGUGGCUUACCAAGGCUUUGACGGGUAGCCGGCCUGAGAGGGUGACCGGCGACAUGGGGACUGAGAGACGGACCAGACGCCUACGGGAGGCAGCAGUGGGGAAUAUUGCACAAUGGGCGGAAGCCUGAUGCAGCAAUGCCGCGUGCGGGAUGCCGGCCUUCGGGUUGUAAACCGCUUUCGCCUGUGACGAAGCGUGAGUGACGGUAAUGGGUAAAGAAGCAACGGCUAACUACGUG
rnacentral:rRNA from 1 species